GGAAGAUACAGCACUACCAUGAAUUUAGUAAGGUAUCUUCUGCUGGAAAUCCUGUUUCUUCCUGCUGUUGCAUUUUACCUGAAACUGGGUCCUGAGGCCAUCGCUGCUGGGGUGACUUCAGCAGCUCUGAUCUCUGAUGAAUCCAUCCAUACUAAUGGGAUGUGACUGGAAC